rnacentral:rRNA from 1 species
GAUUGGGGGUGCAGUGAGCCGGUUCCAGGAAAUAGCUCCACCAAUAUUGACCGUACCCUAAACCGACACAGGGGGUCAGGUAGAGAAUACCAAGGCGCUUGAUAGAACUCGGGUGAAGGAACUCGACAAAAUUGUACCGUAACUUCGGGAGAAGG